GCCUCCAUAGCAUAGUGGCAGUGCGUUCACUUCGUAAGUGAAAGGCCGUGAGUUCAUUCCUCACAAGAGGCU
rnacentral:tRNA from 1 species